CCGGCGUGCCUAAUACAUGCAAGUCGAACGAACUCUGGUAUUGAUUGGUGCUUGCAUCAUGAUUUACAUUUGAGUGAGUGGCGAACUGGUGAGUAACACGUGGGAAACCUGCCCAGAAGCGGGGGAUAACACCUGGAAACAGAUGCUAAUACCGCAUAACAACUUGGACCGCAUGGUCCGAGUUUGAAAGAUGGCUUCGGCUAUCACUUUUGGAUGGUCCCGCGGCGUAUUAGCUAGAUGGUGGGGUAACGGCUCACCAUGGCAAUGAUACGUAGCCGACCUGAGAGGGUAAUCGGCCACAUUGGGACUGAGACACGGCCCAAACUCCUACGGGAGGCAGCAGUAGGGAAUCUUCCACAAUGGACGAAAGUCUGAUGGAGCAACGCCGCGUGAGUGAAGAAGGGUUUCGGCUCGUAAAACUCUGUUGUUAAAGAAGAACAUAUCUGAGAGUAACUGUUCAGGUAUUGACGGUAUUUAACCAGAAAGCCACGGCUAACUACGUGCCAGCAGCCGCGGUAAUACGUAGGUGGCAAGCGUUGUCCGGAUUUAUUGGGCGUAAAGCGAGCGCAGGCGGUUUUUUAAGUCUGAUGUGAAAGCCUUCGGCUCAACCGAAGAAGUGCAUCGGAAACUGGGAAACUUGAGUGCAGAAGAGGACAGUGGAACUCCAUGUGUAGCGGUGAAAUGCGUAGAUAUAUGGAAGAACCACCCAGUGGCGAAGGCGGCUGUCUGGUCUGUAACUGACGCUGAGGCUCGAAAGUAUGGGUAGCAAACAGGAUUAGAUACCCUGGUAGUCCAUACCGUAAACGAUGAAUGCUAAGUGUUGGAGGGUUUCCGCCCUUCAGUGCUGCAGCUAACGCAUUAAGCAUUCCGCCUGGGGAGUACGGCCGCAAGGCUGAAACUCAAAGGAAUUGACGGGGGCCCGCACAAGCGGUGGAGCAUGUGGUUUAAUUCGAAGCUACGCGAAGAACCUUACCAGGUCUUGACAUACUAUGCAAAUCUAAGAGAUUAGACGUUCCCUUCGGGGACAUGGAUACAGGUGGUGCAUGGUUGUCGUCAGCUCGUGUCGUGAGAUGUUGGGUUAAGUCCCGCAACGAGCGCAACCCUUAUUAUCAGUUGCCAGCAUUAAGUUGGGCACUCUGGUGAGACUGCCGGUGACAAACCGGAGGAAGGUGGGGAUGACGUCAAAUCAUCAUGCCCCUUAUGACCUGGGCUACACACGUGCUACAAUGGAUGGUACAACGAGUUGCGAACUCGCGAGAGUAAGCUAAUCUCUUAAAGCCAUUCUCAGUUCGGAUUGUAGGCUGCAACUCGCCUACAUGAAGUCGGAAUCGCUAGUAAUCGCGGAUCAGCAUGCCGCGGUGAAUACGUUCCCGGGCCUUGUACACACCGCCCGUCACACCAUGAGAGUUUGUAACACCCAAAGUCGGUGGGGUAACCUUUUAGGAACCAGCCGCCUAAGGUGGGAG
rnacentral:rRNA from 1 species